rnacentral:rRNA from 1 species
GCAUAACGCGAAGAACCUUACCCACCUUUGACAUGUACGGAAUCCUUUAGAGAUAGAGGAGUGCUCGAAAGAGAGCCGUAACACAGGUGCUGCAUGGCUGUCGUCAGCUCGUGUCGUGAGAUGUUGGGUUAAGUCCCGCAACGAGCGCAACCCUUGCCAUUAGUUGCUACAUUUAGUUGAGCACUCUAAUGGGACUGCCGGUGACAAACCGGAGGAAGGUGGGAUGGACGUCAAGUCCUCAUGGCCCUUAUAGGUGGGCUACACACGUCAUACAAUGGCUGGUACAGAGGGUUGCCAACCCGCGAGGGGAGCCAAUCCCACAAAGCCAGUCGUAGUCCGGAUCGCAGUCUGCAACUCGACUGCGUGAAGUCGGAAUCGCUAGUAAUCGCGGAUCAGAAUGUCGCGGUGAAUACGUUCCGGGUC